GAUGGUUUUCGGUUGAUGCCUUUUGGGUCUGGAAGGAGGAGUUGUCCUGGAGAGAGCUUGGCCUUGCGCAUGGUUAGUUUGACCUUGGGUUCGGUCCUUCAGUGCUUUGAGUGGGAGAGAGUUGGCAAGGAAAUGGUGGACAUGACCGAGGGCGCUGGACUAACAAUGCCCAAAGCUCAGCCCUUGAUAGUUAAAUGUAGACCACGUCCAUCCAUGGUGAACCUUCUUUCUCAUGUUUGAAUUAUAACCCAUGGAAAUUACCUAUAAGCC
rnacentral:misc_RNA from 1 species